UUAACAGCCAGGCUCCUAGCUAAAUUCUAGCUCUUAGCUGGAUUUUAGCCAAAGCUUGGCUGUAAA
rfam:Neotoma lepida isolate 417 scaffold_35971, whole genome shotgun sequence.